CCUGCAGUGUGAACGUAGCCUAAGUUUAAUUUAAUUGGUCACAUGACUGCAUCACAUGACUAAAAUGUGUCAUCGUUUUACCACAGUGUCACCACAGUGUGAUUCACUGUCCACACUGCGACAUGAAAACGGCAUUUUCAAAUAUAUCCGGUUUGGAAAGUGUUUUCAAAACACAGCGUUUUCCUUGACCAAAAAUGAAGUCUCAGUGUGGACGGAAGGCCAAAACGAAGAGAAAAAGAUGUUUUCAAACGAAAACGUAUAAGUGUGGACAUGGCCUGAAUUGCCUCCUCAGCAUGCAGUCAAGUUCUAUAGUCUUGCUAAUGACCUACCAAUUUUAAUUCUGGUAUGUUGCAGCAGGGACACAUUUAAAAGUUUCAGGACACUGGCCCUCGAGUUUGGCACCUGUUCUCUACAGGAAGCUGUGAGGCUGAUGCUGCUAGUCACACUUUGUGAAAAACUGGUUCAGCGUCUGUCCACACGGGGGAGCUGCAGAAGGACUGACAGACUGAAGAUCUGCUUUGUGGGCUGGACCUCUUCAGACACCAGAAUGAAAGCAGAACCUGCAAUAUGACUCACAACACCUCUCUGAGGUUUGACUGAGUCAAAAGAGUUUGUGAUCCAACUGCAUGUUGGAGGCCAAAGGUCAGCUGCUGGCUGUGAGAGGUAGGUCCUUGGGUCAGUCUGAAUGUGACAAACACACUGUCAGUUGCUGAGGAGUCGAGUCCUUUUUAAUAACGCUUUGGCACACGAGUCCCAGAUCAGUUACAGAUGCUAGCCCUCGAGCAGAGAGGGUUGGUGUUCUGUGCUGUGGCUCGAAUGCAGGCUGAGAUCACAAGAAGACCUGCGAGCUGCUGAUGUUUCAUGUGUAUGACGAUGUGAAGAGAAGGAAGCUGAAUGCAGAGGUGGUGCUCUCCGCCUCUGCCGCCAGGCCAUGUUACACCACAGUUCAAGAGGGGGGCAAUGAACGUGUCACAGGUGCGACUCACCUGACUUGACUACACCUGAGUGUGUGGUCAAGUGAGUCUGAGGAGGAGGACCUGUGUCCGUCACAUGUCUGCUGGGACUCUGCAGACACACAAAUCUUGAUGUAGGUGUAAAAACCACUGAUGUUUGGAAAUGCUGAGCUGGAUUUGAUCCAAACCUUCUGCUGUAUUUAUUUUUGUUUCAUUCUCUAUUUUCUGUAACAGAAUGAAAUAAAUCAGGUUAAAUUGUUUUCAUUUGUCAGUGAUGACAGUCAUGCACCUGAGGGCAUCAUCAAACUGUUUUCAUCUGAACCAAAUAUUUGCAUAGAUGUAAGAUUAUCUACAGCUGCUUUCAGUACCACUGAUGUUAAUUUAGUGUCUUUCUCUCCAGCUGAUCUGAGUUAGCUUGAGUAACUACCACCAGCUGCUUUGGCCUGUUCUUUUCUGUAUCACAUGGUGGCGCAGUAAGUCACUGUAACUUUCAUUUAAUUAGAGUUUAUUUCCUGUAAACAAAUAUUAAAUGAUUUCUAACCAA